GUUCAAGUAGAGUCAGGGAAGGUCCUAGGGGAGGUGGUCUCUGAACUCAAGGGCAGGUUGCCAAAGAGGAGGAGUUGGGAGAGCAUUGAUGACCGGCAGAGAAGUCAAUGCGCAGAGGUCAGAUGAGAGAGUGACAAGGAGGAAACAAGGCAGGCUGGAGCAGAGAGGACCACAGGAGCACCAUGUCAUGCUUCACCCAGAAAUCAGUCUUUGAGGGCAUGGCUGAGAACUGCUAUGAGUGCCUUUGGAAGGCCCAGGGGAACCCACGGUGGACGUCACGGCCAAAAGAUUACUGCCGAGGACUGCAUCUCAAGGAAUGGGCAAGGGGAAGACAGAAUCAGGCUAACUCAGCAAUGCCAGUGUCUCAAGCAUAAAAGGUAUUCGAGUAGAAUUUGGCAAAAAAAUGGAGAAAUGAAGAAGUUAGAUUUAAGACACUGAAAGUGGUGUGCAG
rnacentral:lncRNA from 1 species